UACGUAGGGUGCAAGCGUUGUCCGGAAUUAUUGGGCGUAAAGAGCUCGUAGGCGGUUUGUUGCGUCGGCUGUGAAAUCCCGAGGCUCAACCUCGGGUCUGCAGUCGAUACGAGCAAACUAGAGUGUUGCAGGGGAGACUGGAAUUCCUGGUGUAGCGGUGAAAUGCGCAGAUAUCAGGAGGAACACCGGUGGCGAAGGCGGGUCUCUGGGCAAACAACUGACGCUGGAGGAGCG
rnacentral:rRNA from 1 species